rnacentral:lncRNA from 1 species
CAUAUGUACCUGAACACACAUGGAAAAUUUGUGGAAAUCAUUUUGCUCCAUAUUCCAUGUGGGUCUUUGGGAUCGAACUUGGGUCUCAGUGUUGGUGGUGGCAGCUGGAUGGGGUGCUUGGCCUCCCAAAGUCUUUCAGGGACCAUGUGACUUCCGAGGCACCCAGGCAUUGGCAUCCAGCCAGCAAAUGAAGGAAGACAAGUGGGAAAGACACAUUCACUUUUCUUACAUGCCUUCUGGUCUUCUUAUGGGGAAGUAAGUAGUUCUGAUCCACUGUGUCUCAAGGAACCCUGGGAAAUGAAGUCCUGGCCUGAGAAGUUCCUUCCCAGCAAGUUCUCUUGGGAAAAGUGGGAUUCUUGCUAUUCUAGGUUGUGGAAGGGCCUGGCUGCUGGAAAUAAGUCAUUGGAGCUGGGCCUUCAAACCCAUGAUUUCACAUGCUUACUGUUUCCUGGUCAGCCACCACGUGAGCAGUCUCCUCACCCUCCUGCAAGUACUGACCACACUGCCAUGGCAUGCCUUCCC